rnacentral:tRNA from 1 species
GGUCGUUUAGCUCAGUUGGUUAGAGCGUGGUGAUAAUAACGCCAAGGUCGCGAGUUCGACCGUACGUUCCCCCCCGGAGUAUCCU